UAGCUCAGUGGCAUAAGCACCUGCCUUGUAAGCAGGCGGUCCUGGGUUCGAUCCUUG
rnacentral:tRNA from 1 species